rnacentral:tRNA from 9 species
CGGGGUGUAGCGCAGUCUGGUAGCGCAUCUGCUUUGGGAGCAGAGGGUCGGAGGUUCGAAUCCUCUCGCCCCGACCA